rnacentral:rRNA from 1 species
GAUGAACGCUGGCGGCGUGCCUAAUACAUGCAAGUCGAGCGAACGGACGAGAAGCUUUCUUCCCUGAUGUUAGCGGCUGACGGGUGAGUAACACGUGGAUAACCUACCUCUAAUACUGGGAUAACUUCGGGAAACCGUUGCUACUACCGGCUAAUAUUUUGAACCGCAUGGUUCAAAAGUUCAAGACGGUCUUGCUGUCACUAAUAGAUGGAUCCGCGCUGCAUUAGCUAGUUGGUAAGGUAACGGCUUACCAAGGCAACGAUGCAUAGCCGACCUGAGAGGGUGAUCGGCCACACUGGAACUGAGACACGGUCCAGACUCCUACGGGAGGCAGCAGUAGGGAAUCUUCCGCAAUGGGCGAAAGCCUGACGGAGCAACGCCGCGUGAGUGAUGAAGGUCUUCGGAUCGUAAAGCUCUGUUAUUAGGGAAGAACAUAUGUGUAAGUAACUGUGCACAUCUUGACGGUACCUAAUCAGAAAGCCACGGCUAACUACGUG